GCAAACUUGGUCAUUUAGAGGAAGUAAAAGUCGUAACAAGGUCUCCGUUGGUGAACCAGCGGAGGGAUCAUUAUCGAGUCUUAAAAACUCCCAACCCAUGUGAACAUACCUACGUUGCCUCGGUGGCCCCCUAAAAAGGGCUGCCGAAGGACCACUAAACUCUGUUUUAUUUUGGAACUCUGAAUUAUAAAGCAAAUAAGUUAAAACUUUCAACAACGGAUCUCUUGGUUCUGGCAUCGAUGAAGAACGCAGC
rnacentral:misc_RNA from 1 species